rnacentral:rRNA from 1 species
ACACUGGGACUGAGACACGGCCCAGACUCCUACGGGAGGCAGCAGCUAAGAAUCUUCCGCAAUGGACGAAAGUCUGACGGAGCGACGCCGCGUGAACGAAGAAGGCCGAAAGGUUGUAAAGUUCUUUUGCAGGUGAAGAAUAAGGGCAGGAGGGAAUGCCUGUCUGAUGACGCUAGCCUGUGAAUAAGCCCCGGCUAAUUACGUGCCAGCAGCCGCGGUAACACGUAAGGGGCGAGCGUUGUUCGGAAUUAUUGGGCGUAAAGGGCGUGUAGGCGGUCCGGUAAGCCUGGUGUGUAAAGGCUACGGCUUAACCGUAGUUAAGCGCUGGGAACUGCCGGGCUAGAGUCCAGAAGGGGGAGGUAGAAUUCCUGGUGUAGGGGUGAAAUCUGUAGAUAUCAGGAAGAAUACCGGUGGCGAAGGCGACCUCCUGGUCUUGGACUGACGCUGAGGCGCGAAAGCGUGGGGAGCGAACAGGAUUAGAUACCCUGGUAGUCCACGCUGUAAACGAUGUGCACUAGGUGUUGGGGCGAAGAAGCCUCGGUGCCGAAGCUAACGCGAUAAGUGCACCGCCUGGGGAGUAUGCUCGCAAGGGUGAAACUCAAAGGAAUUGACGGGGGCCUGCACAAGCGGUGAAGCAUGUGGUUUAAUUCGAUGAUACGCGAGGAACCUUACCAGGGUUUGACAUACACCGGGAGCCGUGGGAGACCGCGGUGCCUCUUUUGAGGCCGGUGUACAGGUGCUGCAUGGCUGUCGUCAGCUCGUGCUGUGAAGUGUUGGGUUAAGUCCCGCAACGAGCGCAACCCCUACUGUCUGUUGCCAACAGGUUAAGCUGGGCACUCAGACGGAACUGCCGGUGACAAACCGGAGGAAGGUGGGGACGACGUCAAAUCAUCAUGGCCCUUAUGUCCUGGGCUACACACGUGCUACAAUGGCCGGUACAGAGUGAGGCGAAACCGCGAGGUGGAGCAAAUCACAGAAAACCGGUCUCAGUUCGGAUCGGAGUCUGAAACCCGACUUCGUGAAGCUGGAAUCGCUAGUAAUCGCGCAUCAGCAUGGCGCGGUGAUACGUUCCCAGGCCUUGUACACACCGCCCGUCACACCACCCGAGUUGGGGGUACCCGAAGUCGGUAGCCUAACCGUGCAAGCGGGGGG